AUUUAUGUAGUUUAUUAAAAAUUAUAUAUUUUCAUUAUAUAGAUAAAUUUCCUAUUUCAUAAAUU
rnacentral:tRNA from 1 species